rnacentral:rRNA from 1 species
GACGAACGCUGGCGGCGUGCCUAAUACAUGCAAGUUGAGCGCUGAAGGUUGGUACUUGUUCCAACUGGAUGAGCAGCGAACGGGUGAGUAACGCGUGGGGAAUCUGCCUUUGAGCGGGGGACAACAUUUGGAAACGAAUGCUAAUACCGCAUAAAAACUUUAAACACAAGUUUUAAGUUUGAAAGAUGCAAUUGCAUCACUCAAAGAUGAUCCCGCAUUGUAUUAGCUAGUUGGUGAGGUAAAGGCUCACCAAGGCGAUGAUACAUAGCCGACCUGAGAGGGUGAUCGGCCACAUUGGGACUGGGACACGGCCCAAACUCCUACGGGAGGCAGCAGUAGGGAAUCUUCGGCAAUGGACGAAAGUCUGACCGAGCAACGCCGCGUGAGUGAAGAAGGUUUUCGGAUCGUAAAACUCUGUUGGUAGAGAAGAACGUUGGUGAGAGUGGAAAGCUCAUCAAGUGACGGUAACUACCCAGAAAGGGACGGCUAACUACGUG